rnacentral:rRNA from 1 species
CAGUAGCCGCGGGAAUACGUAGGGUCCGAGCGUUGUCCGGAAUUAUUGGGCGUAAAGAGCUCGUAGGCGGUCUGUCGCGUCUGCCGUGAAAUCCUCAGGCUCAACCUGAGGCGUGCGGUGGGUACGGGCAGGCUAGAGUGCGGUAGGGGAGAAUGGAACUCCUGGUGUAGCGGUGGAAUGCGCAGAUAUCAGGAAGAACACCGAUGGCGAAGGCAGUUCUCUGGGCCGUAACUGACGCUGAGGAGCGAAAGCGUGGGGAGCGAACAGGAUUAGAUACCCGCGUAGUCCCUGUCUCUUAUAC